CAUGUUUGCUUCCCCUUCUGCCGUUAUUGCAAAUUCCCUGAGACCUCCCCAGCCAUGCAGAACUGUUAGUCAAUUAAGCCUCAUUCCAUUAUAAAUUGCCCAGUUUCAGGCAGUUCUUCACAGCAGCAUGAAAAGGGACUAAUACAAUACUCUUAUAUGAUGAAAGUAGUUGAAACAGCAAGUUCUCUCCUUUCCGAAUAUAUGUCCUGAGACUAAACUUCUUUGAUUUCUCCAUGGAGGGGAUAGGACAUUGGGCCGAUCUCAUUGCUCCCAGCCUAGCAGGCAUCAGAACCUUAGAAGCCAUGAUUUCACUCAGUGAGUCACUGUCACAUUGGCACAUCCUAUUCCCUGUUGAUGGUGCCACCUUUUACACAAAGGCACUCAGCACAUCCUGCACUGGCAAUGAGAUGAGUCUCCCUGGCUGCCCCUUCCUCUAUGCGACCUCACAAUGAUUGCAUUGGAAGGAUUAUGACAGCAACUUCCUGCAGUCCCAUGGUGCCCAACAAAUUGAGGGUGACUCAGUGCCUCAGACAAGGAGGUAAAUGUUUCUUUUCAAUGAUUAUAAUCGUCACUCUUUCCUGUCCCCUCCUCCCCACAGUUGCUGAUACUAUAUUCCAUUAUGUUUAUAAAAAUAUUAAGGGACAUUAGUAUAAGGUGAUUAGGAUAAUAUUUAGUUACUAUUAUAAUAUAUUCUGUUUGAAAUACUAUAACUUAAGAUGUUCCAGACAUUGCACCACAGACUUUAUACAUUGUGGUGGACAAAACAUGGCCAGAAAUUUAUCAACAUUUCUGCAAUUCAGAGGAUACUGAGGCACUGUGAGGUUCACUGAAAGCUGGACUGUGAGGAAGAUUCGGGCCGUCGGACUCCAGACCCCAAGCUCUAACAUACUAUAUGGAGAAAUUAAGGCAUUGAAAAGUCACUUGCCCCAGAUGACACAGCUAGUGGACAGUCGAGGAAAUGUGGGCUCUGGAGUUGAAUCACGAUCUAGAUUCAAAUCUUGGUCCUGCCAUUUGCUGGAGGGACAUGUUUAGGAGGGCAUCCCAGGAGAAGGCAGAGUCCAGGAGGCGGAUGUUGGGAAGCAAAUCCUGAACUCAUCAAGUCCCAUAGCCCCUUUGUCUAUGGACCUUCUGCCAGCAUCUUCUGUAAGACUAUUAAAAUGCACCAACCCAAGGUCUCCAGUGCUGCUGAGUCCCCCGUGUCACCUCCUGCAACUGCCACAGUUGUCA
rnacentral:lncRNA from 1 species